rnacentral:rRNA from 1 species
CCCAACCCUUUGUCUAUGAUACCUUACAGUUGCUUCGGCGUGCCGAGGAGCUCGCUUCUCGCCUGGGACCCGUGCCCGGGAGCGCGCCCGCCGAUGGCCUCAACUUAACACUUGAACCCAAACCCUGUCGUCUGAAAACUUGUGAUUACUAUAAUCAAAAACAAAACUUUCAACAACGGAUCUCUUGGUUCUGGCAUCGAUGAAGAACGCAGCGAAAUGCGAUAAGUAAUGCGAAUUGCAGAAUUUCCGUGAGUCAUCGAAUCUUUGAACGCACAUUGCGCCCACUGGUAUUCCGGUGGGCAUGCCUGUUCGAGCGUCAUUAUCCUCUCUCCAACCUUCGGGCUGGGUGUUGGGCCGCGCUGUGGUUCGUCCGCAACUGGUCUCAAAGACAAUGACGGCGUCCGUGGGACCCUCUUCGCAACGAGUCUUUCGAGGCACGCGGGGAGUUGCAAGGUCUCGUCGGGCCGGUCUAACCUUUAUUUCUCAGGUUGAC